AUAGUCUGAGACAUUUCUAGGAUAUUGAAGAAUAUCCUAAUGAAUGAGCAUGUAUUCAAGUGUUCAAGUAAUCAAAAUGAAAUGAAACAUUAUUAAUGUUUCUAGAGAAGGAUCAAAAGCUUCCGUCAUCACCCUCCAAAGGUUACAAAAUCAUCUAAACAGAAAGCUAAACUCACAUCUUCCAUUAACCUUUUGAUUUCUGGUUUUCUCCUCUCUAAAGAAAUGCGCGUUCUGUUUGACAAAUUCGAAAACUACUGUGCGAUCAUUGUCGACGAGACGCCGAGGAAAAUUAUAGGAAUGAAUUUGCAACCUCCAUAUCCAAAUCAAUUUUAUUAUUAAUUAAUGAUGAUAUUAAUUCUCCACUUUGUAACUGGUCAAAUAGAGUUUUUUUUUAGGAAA